rnacentral:rRNA from 1 species
UACAGAGGGUGCGAGCGUUAAUCGGAAUUACUGGGCGUAAAGCGUGCGUAGACGGUUAUUUAAGUCGGAUGUGAAAGCCCCGGGCUCAACCUGGGAAUUGCAUUCGAGACUGAAUAGCUAGGGUGCGGUAGAGGGAAGCGGAAUUUCCGGUGUAGCGGUGAAAUGCGUAGAUAUCAUUGGAACGCCAAUGGUGAAAACAACUCGCUGGGGAAGUGACUGACGCUGAGGAGCGAAAGCAUGGGUAGCGAACAGG